UGGCCCUUUAGCUCAGUUGGUUAGAGCAGUCGACUCAUAAUCGAUUGAUCGCUGAUUCAAGUCCAGCAAGGGCCAUC
rnacentral:tRNA from 1 species